UACGGGGGGGGCAAGCGUUGUUCGGAAUUACUGGGCGUAAAGGGCUCGUAGGUGGCCAACUAAGUCAGACGUGAAAUCCCUCGGCUUAACCGGGGAACUGCGUCUGAUACUGGAUGGCUUGAAUCCGGGAGAGGGAUGCGGAAUUCCAGGUGUAGCGGUGAAAUGCGUAGAUAUCUGGAGGAACACCGGUGGCGAAGGCGGCAUCCUGGACCGGCAUUGACGCUGAGGCGCGAAAGCCAGGGGAGCAAACGGG
rnacentral:rRNA from 1 species